rnacentral:misc_RNA from 1 species
GAUGAAGAAUGUAGCGAAAUGCGAUAAGUUAUGUGAAUUGCAGAAUUCAGUGAAUCAUCGAAUCUUUGAACGCACAUUGCGCCCAUUAGUAUUCUAGUGGGCAUGCCUGUUCGAGCGUCAUUAAGUCCACUUAAGCCCUGCUUAGUGUUGGGAGACUGCUCCAGCGGUGCUACCCUGUAGCUACCCUGCAGCUCCUCAAAGACAGCGGCGGAGUUGUGGUAUCCUCUGAGCUUAGUAACUUGUUCUAGCUUUCGAGUACACCACUUACCCUGCCGUAAAACCCUUAAUUUUUAAUGGUUGACCUCGGAUCAGGUAGGAAUACCCGCUGAACUUAAGCAUAUCAAUAAGCGGAGGA